CCUACGGGUGGCUGCAGUGGGGAAUCUUGCGCAAUGGGCGAAAGCCUGACGCAGCGACGCCGCGUGGGGGAGGAAGCUCUUCGGGGUGUAAACCUCUGUCAGAGGGGAAGAAUGGGCACCUGAGGAAAUGCAGGUGUUGUGACGGUACCCUCAAAGGAAGCACCGGCUAACUCUGUGCCAGCAGCCGCGGUAAUACAGAGGGUGCGAGCGUUGUUCGGAAUUACUGGGCGUAAAGCGCGCGCAGGCGGCUCUUUAAGUCCGCUGGUGAAAGACCG
rnacentral:rRNA from 1 species